rnacentral:rRNA from 1 species
AUUGAACGCUGGCGGCAGGCCUAACACAUGCAAGUCGAACGAGUGGUGGACGGGUGAGUAAUGUCUGGGGAUCUGCCCGAUAGAGGGGGAUAACUACUGGAAACGGUGGCUAAUACCGCAUACUAUCGGAUGAACCCAUAUGGGAUUAGCUAGUAGGUGGGGUAAAGGCUCACCUAGGCGACGAUCUCUAGCUGGUCUGAGAGGAUGAUAAGCCACACUGGGACGGAGACACGGCCCAGACUCCUACGGGAGGCAGCAGUGGGGAAUAUUGCACAAUGGGCGCAAGCCUGAUGCAGCCAUGCCGCGUGUAUGAAGAAGGCCUUAGGGUUGUAAAGUACUUUCAGCGAGGAGGCGUUACUCGCAGAAGAAGCACCGGCUAACUCCGUGCCAGCAGCCGCGGUAAUAC